UAAUAAUUAUAUUAAUGAUUGAUUUUUUUAUACAGAUGAUUUAAUAGAAGUAACUUUAUAGGGAGUGUGUUUAAGUAUAAUUUAUAGAAAAAAUUGUUUAAUUGAUAGUAGACUAGUAUUGUAAAAGAAAUUUGAAAUAUAAUGAAAAUUUGAUUAAGUAAAAGUAAAUAGUUAUUGUACCUUGUGUAUCAGGGUUGAUUUAAAUGAUAUUAAUAAAUUUAAUGUUCCCGAUUUAAGAAGAGUUAAUAUUAUAUAUUAGUUAACGUAUUAAAGUUAUUGAAAAUAUAAUAUUGGUAAUGAUAAGUUAAGCGUUUCUUAAGAUGUCUGGUUUCUUAAGAAUUGAAUUUAAUUCAGUUAUUAUAUAAAUGUAAAUGGUAAUAUUGGUUAUUAUUUAUGAAUUGAUAAUAGUGGCUUUGGGGAUAAGCUCAGAGUUAUAAAUCUAUAAUGUGUUAUGUUAAAUUAAAGUGUAGGCUUUAGAUUAGCUUUCUAUUGAUUGUGUUAUAACUUAUUAAUAUUUAGUUUUGAUUUUAUAAAGGAUUUAGUUAGUUUAUUAAGAUGAUUUUAUUAAUAGUUUAUAAAUUUUAAUAAUGAUUAAAUUAGUAUAAUAAAUAAUUGAAUGUAAAUUGUAUUAUAAAUAUAUAAUUUAUUUUAAGGAAUUAGGCAAAAUUUUAAUACUCGCCUGUUUAUCAAAAACAUGUCUUUUUGAUUAUAUAUGAAGUCUGGCCUGCCCACUGAAAAAUUUUGAAGGGCCGCGGUAUAUUGACCGUGCAAAGGUAGCAUAAUCAUUAGUCUUUUAAUUGAGGGCUAGAAUGAAUGGUUUGACGAAGUAUUAACUGUCUCAUAGUAAAAUAUUAGAAUUUAACUUUUUAGUUAAAAGGCUAAAAUAAUUUUAUAGGACGAGAAGACCCUAUAGAGCUUUAUAAUUAUAUAUAAAAUUGUAUUUAGUUGUUUAGUAAUUAUUUUAUUGUAUAUGUAUUAAGUUGGGGUGACUUAAAGAUUUAAUUAACUCUUUAUUAUUAUAGACCAUUAAUUUAUGAAUAGUUGAUCCAUUAUUAAUGAUUAAAAGAUUAAGUUACCUUAGGGAUAACAGCGUAAUUUUUUUUGAGAGUUCUUAUCAACAAAAAAGAUUGCGACCUCGAUGUUGGAUUAAGGAUAUGGGUGGGUGUAGAAGUUUACUUUAUAGGUCUGUUCGACCUUUAAAUCCUUACAUGAUCUGAGUUCAGACCGGCGUGAGCCAGGUUGGUUUCUAUCCUUAAGAUUGAUUAAGUAUUUUAGUACGAAAGGACCAAAUAUUGUAAAAAAUUUUUUAAGAUUGAAUAUUAUU
rnacentral:rRNA from 1 species